rnacentral:siRNA from 1 species
ACAGAUCGUGAGAUUUAAAAACCU